GGAAGGGUCGCAUAGUGGUCUAGUGCGCCUGCUUGGAGAGCAGGUAUACCUUAACCGGUAUCGUGGGUUCAAAUCCCACCCCUUCCG
rnacentral:tRNA from 1 species